UCCAUGCCAAAUUGUCAAUAUCAAAUUGAAACCUCACGAAGCUAAUUAAGAAUUAAGUCAUUAAUCAUUCUGCCAAAUAAGUUAAAUAACAAAUAUUAUUUCUGAUUUCUCAUUGAUAGAAGCAUGAUACAUUUAUCUAUUUUCAAAUUUUCAAUUCUCGGCCGCAAUACACAAUUCAACCAUUACACUGUCACAUGCCACACCCACUAAACUAUAUCUGCCCACCAUUUUGAACUCCACCACCAACACCAAGUAUAUACAUCAACAGUCCACAAAAUCAAUCCAAACAGUCUAACACAGUAAGACUAACACAAAAUACAAACUUUGUACAAAGUACAAACACACGGGCCAUGACAUAAAUAAAAAAAAAAAAAACACUUGUAGACUGCACACUGCAGCACCAAAGAUGACAGCAUUCGAGGGGCUAACGAUGGCGUCAUUGUGCUUGAGGUGAGGGGCUGUGCUAGGAGGUCGUGCACGCGAGGAAGAGAGGGGCUGUGCUAGGCGCUGUGCACGCAAGGGAAGAGAGGGGCUGAGCUGACGCGAGGCAGAGAGGCGAGGGAGAGAGGCGUGGGAGAGAGGUCUGAGGCUCUGUGCCGUGUGGAGAGGGAGAAACGCGAGGCGAGGGAGAGAGGCAUGGGAGAGGGUCAGUGACUGCAAAUUGAAAUUUAGGAUUAAGAAGAGAACUUUUAUAUUUUCAAUUAAUAACUGAACCGAUCGAUUAAAUCGAACCGAACAAAAAACAAUCGGUUUAUUUGUUUAAGAACCUUUCAGUUUUUCUCAUAAAACCGAACCGAACUAAACUAAACUAAAAAAUUCUGUUCAAUUCGGUAAAAAAUGGAACAGUUUGCCUACCCUUAAUUUUAGCCCAUUGUGACGCGUUAUGUUCAUGUGAUGGAAAACGCCCGC
rnacentral:lncRNA from 1 species